CGUGUAGGCGGCUUAUUAAGUCAUUUGUUAAAGCCCAUGGCUUACCCAUGGACCAGCAAUUGAUACUGAUAGGCUAAGAGGGCAAGAGAGAGAAGUGGAAUUCUCGGAGUAGCGGUAAAAUGCGUAGAUCUCGAGAGGAACACCGAUGGCGAAGGCAGCUUCUUGGCUUGUACCUGACGCUGAGGCGCGAAAGCGUGGGGAGCAAACA
rnacentral:rRNA from 1 species